AUUGCAACUACCGGGGAAACCCUAAAAUAACAAAGGGCCGCGAUGAUUUUAUGGAAAUAUUUUAGUUAAAAAAGGCCGUUUUUUGUUUCAAAACAUUCGUCGUGUUUGUUUGUUGUGUUUGAAAGCACCGCUGGGUAAAAUGUUGUUUUAACUACGGACGCUUGCUAGGCAAAAGGAAAACACAGAUGUAUCGUUAAAAUUUUAAAUUAAUUGUUUAUGUAUGUGCAUAUUUAUACGUAGAUGCACACAGGCCCUAAUGGAACGAACGAGAAAAAAAACAAGUUUAUAUGGGCGUGGGCUAUAGAUUUAGUUUCACUUAUCAUGAACCACUACCAUUUUAGUUGUCAUUGUCUUGUCAAAUCGAACUAUCAAAAUGGCGGAUCGGCGUCAUUUUGAAAAAUCUCAAAGGCAUAUCUCCUUCUCUUGCAGUGAUUAAAACAAAAGGCCGUUACUUAUAAUGUAAGUCCGCAUUUAUAACUGAAAUGCACCGAAAGUGCCUGGAUUAAAACAAAUUUACCGAGCUAGAAGUAGCAUUUGUUUCGUAAACUGGGAAACAAAGAGGAAUGGUGAGGAGGGCGAAGCGACGGCAGGCGACGAAUAACAUAAACAAAGAGGAGGCUGCGAUAGUGGCAGCGUCGCUUUUGUCUGCAAAAACCCUGUUGCACGACCACCUUUGAGGAAUAUUUGAAUUAAAAUCGGUUCACUACGAGUCGAUCCCCUCCCACCCCGUUCUCCCUGCUUCCAUUUGCAAGAAUUUAAUGGCUUUACAGCAUCAGUUACAAACGAACGAGAUUCCGCUAUUGUAAUUAUUUAGUCGUUUCAUCUUUUCUUCUUCCUCGCUAUUGAAAUGCUAAAACACGAAUAAUAUUCCUUGGAAAGAUAUCAAGUUUUCUGAAGCUGUCUGUGCAACUAUUGCGAUUAAAAUUUAAUUAAAAGUUUACAAGAUAAGAUGACGCUAGGGGAUAUAAAAGCGCACGUGCCCGAACUUGGCAAUUGCAUUUUCAUUGAAGUGACCAGACCAUAAGUUGAACGUUUUCAAGUGCCUGGAAUAGAAUUAGAAAUUUUCAGUUGGCAACAAUGACAGCCGCAAAUUUGCUUUCUUUUUUUAUUAGAUCCAACCAGUAUUUAUUAGGAAAUUCUGCAUUGAAGUUACUAAAAGGCAAAUGGGAUUAUGUUUAUUUAAAUAAGAAAACCAUACGAUUGACGUCAUCAAAUGCCUGGAAUAAAAACAAUAUUCGUCCAGGCAAUUGCAUUUUUAUUGAAGUGAGAAGACCAUAAAAUGAACGUCAUCAAGUGCCUAGAAUAGAAUUUGAAAUUUUCACUUGGCAACAAUGACGGCCGCAAAUUUGCUUAUUGCAAUUGCGUUUUUAUUGAAGUGAGAAGACCAUAAGUUGAACGUCAUCAAGUGCCUGGAAUAGAAUUAGAAAUUUUCUUUUGGUUGGCAACAAUGACGGCCGCAAAUUUGCUUAUUGCAAUUGCAUUUUUAUUGAAGCGAGAAGACCAUAAGUUGAACGUCAUCAAGUGCCUGGAAUAGAAUUAGAAAUUUUCAGUUGGCAACGAUGACGGCCGCAAAUUUGCUUAUUGCAAUUGCGUUUUUAUUGAAGUGAGAAGACCAUAAAAUGAACGUCAUCAAGUGCCUGGAAUAGAAUUAGUCAUUUUCAGUUGGCAACAAUGACGAGCGCAAAUUUGCUUAUUGUGCUGCCUGUAAAGAGAGAUGGAAGAAUCUUAGGGCAGUGUUUGUAAGGCAUAUGAAACCUGCUCCGAGUGGUUCUGGUGCAAAAAAAAUAUAUUACUUAACAGACCUUAUGCAGUUGGUAUUGCCAUUUGUGAAAACCGGAAUACCUUCACAAGCUAGUAACUGUUGGUAAAGUAGAUGCUGAAGUUGCAUCAACUGAGGCAUCAGAUUACCAACCGAACAACCCCUUGUUCCACUCAGAGCGAACCAAUAUCGAAGCAACAGAAACAAAUCCAGUUUCAGCUGAGAUACCCCAGCCAAAAUGCAGUUCAACACCUCAUACUAGAGCAAACAAGCGUAAAAGGCCUCUAGAUGAGGUGGAUAAAACUUUUGUGAAUUUUCUUAAGGAAAGGCAAAUGCAAGAAGGCAGGGCCGAAAAUACACGAAAAAUGUUUCGUCUAAGUUUAUUAGAUGAAGUGACCAGCAUGUCAGAUGAACAAUGGAAAUUAUUUAAAAGAAGAACCCUGAAUGUAAUAGACGAAAUUAUGACUCUGAUCUUUCAAGAGAAUCUAUAUUUACAAUGACAUCUCCAUCUUAUUCAAAUAAUUCUCAGCAUUCCUUUCCCUCCAACACUAAUCAAAUUGAUACAUACUCCACAAGGACAGAAAUCACUCCUGUUUCAUCGUUGCAAAAUACUUCUUGUACUGGGCAGAAUGUAUUUACCAUGUCAAUGUGAAAAAAUGAAUAAAUAAAUAUUCCUUGGAACGAAUAAAUACAUUUUUUUCACUUACCUUUGAGUAAUCAUUAUCCUUUCUUCAGGACUUACGCAUUCCCUGCUCAUAUUUGUAUUCCUCUUAACUAUUUCAGGAUGAACUCUAUUCAGAAGGAGUCUAUAUGUUUCUUUAGUCAUUCUGUAGAACAUAUGAAACUUUGCAUCAUCUAGUUGCAAUUCUGAGGCGGCUACAAACAAUCUACAGUUUAAAUUUAUUUCUAAGUAGGGAUGGACCCAGAAUCGCCUUCUUCUGCGUCUAUAUCUUCGAUUGUAAUAGUACAAAAUAGCCAUCUCAUCCAAAUCAUCCAUAAUUUAUGACAACACA
rnacentral:lncRNA from 1 species